rnacentral:lncRNA from 1 species
AGCAGUGUAGAAGGAAGAGCACUAGACACUCCAGGUUCAAGAUGGGAAUUAUGAUGUAGGUACCACCUACUUUACUGAUUGACGUUUAGCUCAAAUCAAUUCCGACUGAUGGCAAUAUAUUGAAAAUUUCAAAAUGCAGCUCACAUGGGAGGGAUUGUCAUUGUCCAUCAUUGCCAAGUAGCAUUCAUUUUCCAGAUUAACUACAGAGAGACUUGGUGGGGGGACUUGGGGAGUGGGGUAGAUUAGCCAGAAUAGGAUUGGAACCUGGGACAUUCCUGGUGGUGACAGGUCUCAGAGAAGGGCCACUGCAGGGAAGGAGGUACCCUAAUAUUUACUAAGGGCCCAGUAAGAGCCAGGGGGUCACUUUUCUCCUACAUUACCUUACAGUAGCCCUGCAAGGUAAGAGUUACUUUCCCACAAUACAGAGGAGGAACUGAGGCUCAGAGAGGUAGAUUAACUUGUCCAUGGUCUCAUAGCUGGUAGGUUACACCAAAGCCCAUGCUAUCUUUGGGGAGGUGUAUUCAAUUAGUAAUUGAAAAUGAGUGCUCAAAAGAAAGGGUUGGGGGAAGUCCUACAAAAGCAAGCUAUCCAGUGGUUCUUUUUUGUUUGUUUCAAGGCAGCCCUAGGUAAAAAUACCUAAGAGCUUGUUUCAGCAGAACUCUGGCUACCGCCUGGUCGCUGAGCUCAAGGUUGUUCUGUGCUAUUCCUCCCCGGACUCCCCACUUCUCACCAGGCCGUUCCACUCCACCUGGCCUGUACUUUCCUCUGAAUCCUCCUCACAGCUCUCACAGGUCUACGGAGUUACCAGUGACCUAGCUGUGCCCCUUCAUGGCAAUGUGACGUGGGUCAGGCUGAGCCCACUCCGGUGCCCUCAGUGUCCUCAUCUAGUAAGGGAUGGAGUUGGCCUUCUAGGAUUUCACUAUGGCAGCACUAUUGAUGUUUGGGGUAGGAUAAUUUUUGCAUUGCAGGACACCCUUGGCCCUGCCUGCCAAAUGACAAUAGCACUGCCACCUGCCCCCAUCUUUGAGACAACCAAAAAGAAAAAAAAUGCCCACACCACAUUUUCACGUACCUUCUUGGAGCUAUGUCACCCCUGGCUGAGAAUCAUUGCAGCUCCAAAAGCCAUCAAGAUCCAUCUAGCCCAUCGCCUUUAUCAACAAAGUAAACACAGAAACCAUUUUCUUGACCUGGAGAAGC